CCUGCUUGCCAGGUAAGCCUUUGAAAAACUCACAAGCGGGAGUGAGAGGAAACUGUUGUAUCAAGGAAGAUUGUAUUAGCAACAGGAAAAUGUGGCGCGUAUCUAUUAAAUUGACUGAUGCAAUUCAUAUCCCAGAGUAAGAUGUUUCAACAUUUAAAAUGUUUUAGCAUCAAGGGAUGGUAAGGAUAAGACAGACUGUGUUACGUUCAUAACUUGCAUUAUCUCAUUUUCAUUCUCCCAAAAACCCAUAAAGAGACCUUACUGUCUUCAUCUUACAAAUGAAGACAAUGAGGCUUGGAAAGGAAGCCAUCUUGGUACUAAUACUCAACCGAGCUUAGAUUCGAACUCAAAUCUGUCUGGCCCCAGAGUCUUUUCUUCAUUCCUCUUGGGUCCUCUCAAGAGCUGUUUUAACAAUAUCGACAUCAAGUUUUCAGAGAGGUUGAAAAAUAAAGAUUGAAUAUAUAUAUAUAUAUAUAUAUAUAUAUAUAUUUAUAUAUUUAUUUUGAGAGAGCAUGAGUUGGGGAGGGGAAGAAUGAGAAGGAGAGAGAGAAUCCUAAGCAGGCUCUGCAUUGCCAGUGACAAGCCCAAUGUGGGGCUCAAACCCACGAACCAUGAGAUUAUGACCUGAGCUGAAACCAAGAGUCAGAUGCUUAACCCACUGAGCUACCCAGGCUCCCCAAAGAUUGAAUAUUUUUGUACACUGACAAUGAGCCACCUACAAGGCAGGGCAGUAAGGGAGGUUGCAAUGGACUGUUCUCUACUCAAGGAGCUACGUAGCUGGUGUAGGAAGCUGGUACCCAAUAUAGGCUGAACAUUAGAUGAUGAAAUAAGGGCUGCUGUGAAGGGGACAGUCAGAACUGAGGGAAGGAGUGAUUGGCUUGGUUGUGCAAGGAGAGCAGGGAAAGUUCACAGAACACCGGAAGGUGUCAUUUUGAAAAGACUCUGAGGAGGUGGGGGGAAGGCACAGCAGGUUUGGGGACACUGCAGAGUGAGGGAACAUGUUACAGGAGCUGGGUGGAAAGUUCAGGAAAGUUCAGGGAAAGUUCAGGGAAAGUCAGUGCAUGGUUGGAAUAGUGGAAGGUGAAGGUGGGUUGGAGCCAGGCCAUGGAAGGCUCUGAAUAGGAGCCUGAAACUGAAAUGGGGAAUUAUUGAAGGUUUUUGAGUAGGGGGAAGGCAAGGUUCCAAUCAAAUCCUUGACAAAAUCAUCCAAAAGUAUUGCUGAAUUCAUCCUGACACCAGAUCACAAGUACACAAAGUACACAAAAUUGAAUAUAGAAAAUCAAUAUUCUUAACCAAGACUCAAAACAAUGGCCUGCUUACUUCUGAAGAAACACACCAAAUGAAGUGGAUAUAUGCCUGAAUCAUUAGCUCAGACCCGAGCCGCCCUCUUUCUUCCACACGGGCCAAGAACAAUCCCAUUCUCAUGAUUCCUAAGACAACCUCAUCAACUCGAAAACCUGGGGCAACACAUACAAUCCCCUCCUCCCUCCCCCCCCCCAAAAAAAAUUCCAGCAAGGAAAUGACAAUUCCUUUCACUUCCUUUCUUUCUUCAGCGGCCAGCCAAUGAAGAUUGCUUCACCGUUCUCUCUCUGAUACACCAGACACACAUCCUAGAGUAGGAAUUGGAUCCUGAUGGCUUAAUUGAGUUAAAAAGAAAAGUGCAGAUUAUCUAAAAGCCUCUCAAAGGUUUCAGAGUGGCUCUCACAUCUCAGAAAGCCCAGUGGUGGCUCUCAGUUCUUUGGUUAGGGCGGAGCUGAAUGAAUUUCGUAGCACAGAAUUCAAAAGCACUGGAAGUCAGCAGUUCUGAAGGACUGCAGAAAGGGCUUGUUUACACUUUUCUCUCGGGCUGAAACCCAUCUAUUUAAACUUUAACCAGAGACAAUUAUAAAACCAUGGUUAGCCAGGGAUCGCAGGCUGCACAAGACGGGAGACAGAUGCCAACAGUCUGGCAUUGGAGGAGGGAAGGUUGAGAAUAUUUUGAGGGAAGGGAUCAAAGAAGAAGUACAAAGGUUUUGGAAACAGGUGUCACCUAGCUUGAGGAGACAGAAGAAAGAUACCCUGAAGACUUUCUCCUCCGGGCUUCUUUUCCAGCAUUACCCAUGGCACUUCUGUUCUACGCUUGAAGCCUCGCAACAUGCAUGCCCAGGGCCGAGGUAAAGUCAGCACCAACAACAGGGAGCGCUGUCCGGUGCCCAGGCCAGAAACGGGAAAUUCCUUGAUGCAAAUCCCUCAGGCCCUCGGGCAGGCUCCGUGUUUGUGCUGUAACUAAAUACCACACUCACCUGUCCUUCAUGGGUACCAGGCACAAAGCCAGGGUUAUAGAACGCAGGGAAAAGCCCUCAUUGGGAAAGGUAGGAAAAGCAGAGAAAGAAGCAGGUGGCAGGAAGAAGGAUCAUGGCAAAUGGGAAACCAAAUACAUGAGGAAAAAAGAAAAGCUGCAAAAAGUUCAAGGAAACUUUUUUUUUUUUUUUUGGGUCUCUCUAUUUUUGACCAAGUGAAAAAAAAAACAAACACAAAAGAAUAAACUAAGCAACUGGAAUCAGAUGGAGCCAGUGAAGGGGGGGGGAACAAGCAGCAGAACUCUACAAAUAUAUGCUAAUUACCUCAUCCUUCCUCCCGUGCCCUGCAAGCGAGGCUCCAGUGCCGGUUUGUACAUUGGCCUAAUAAUGAUUUCAUUUCACAGACAUCUUUCCACGUUUUUUUUUUUUUUUUUCUUAACAAAGUCCAUCACAAUUCUGUUUUGGGAAGUAGAAACAGUAUCUAUCUUUAGGAAAUUUAAAUGCCAAAGAGCUCAGAUAAGCAUAAUUGAGAAGUAAAGAAUGGUUGGUGUGACCAGGACAAAUAUCAAAUCACAAAUAUUUGAAAUUCUUCCCCUUCGGGGCCCUAAGGAGAGAAGUGCCUUUGUUUGCUGAAUUGGCUCACAGAGGACCUGGCCUUUGCCGUGUUGCGUAGGAUGUUGGAUGGGGAGGAGAAGCCAGAGGAAGGUCAAAUAUUUAAGAGCCUACUAUGCAUCAGGCGUUCUGUUAGAUGCUAGAAAUUUAAGAGCAUACAAAACAGGCCCCUACCCUCAUGAAGCUAAUACUUUUUUAGACUUUAAACAAAAAUGUAGUAAAUUGCACGUAACAUAAAAUUUACCACCUUAACAAUUUUUUAAGUGUGUAUUUAUUUUUGAGAGAGAGAGCACGAGCAGAGCAGAGGAGGUACGGGAGGUGGGGGAGUGGGGGAGACAGAGGAUCCAAAGCAGGGUCCUCGCUAACAGCGGAGAGUCUGAUGCAGGACUGAAACUCACAGACCAUGAGAUCAUGACCUGAGCGGAAGUUGGACACUCAACCGACUGAGCUACCCAGGUGCCCCAACUACCUUAACCAUUGUUAAGUGCAAAGUUCAAUAGUGUUAAUCAUAUUUACACUGUUGUGCAUCCAAUCUCUAGAAUGUUUCCAUCUUGAAAAACUGAACUCAAUGCUCAUUAAAGAACUCCCUCCCUGCAAUCCCCCCCCUGCCAACUACCCCUCACCCUAAGGUCUGAGUCACCACCAUUUUACUUUCUGUUUUUAUUAAUUUGACUAUUCUAGGUACAUCUUGUAAGUGGAAUCAUAUAGUAUUUCUGUUUUUGUAACUGGUUUAUUUCACUCAGUAUAUCCUCAAAGUUCCAUGUUAUAGCAUGUAUCAGAAUUUUGUUGCUUUUUAAACCCUAAUAAUCCACUGUAUGCACAUGACACAUUUUGUUUAUUCACUCAUCUGUUGAUGGACGUUUGGGUUGCUUCUACUUCUGGGCUACUAUGGAUAAUGCCACUGUGAACACAGGUGUACAAAUAUCUCUUUGAACUAAUGCUCUUUAAAAAAAAAUUUUUUUAAUCUUUAUUCAUUUUUGGGAGAGAGACAGACAGAGCAUGAGCAGGGGAGGGGCAGAGAGAGAGGGAGACACAAACCGAAGCAGGCUCCAGGCUCUGAGGUGUCAGCACUGAGCCCAAUGUGGGGCUCGAACCACGAACCGUGAGAUCAUGACCUGAGCCGAAGUGGGACGCUUGGCUGACUGAGCCACCCAGGUGCCCCUGAACUAACACUCUUUUAGGGAGCUUAUCCCAUCAUAUUUGGAUUAUUUAUUUGCCCAUCACUUGGCCUAACUAUAUGGUUAGCUGUGAGGACUGUGUCAUUUAUCUUUGUAUUCCAACUCCCUAUACGAUGCUGGCACGUAGUAGGAACGCAGUAAAUACUUGUUGGCAAAAUAAUUUAUUUUUAUACUUCUUAAUCACUACUGCUGCAGCUGGCUGUUUUACAUAUUUUAAUAAAUAAGUUUUGCAAUUUUAAUGAAUGCUAUUUUGAUUAUAUUUACAUACUAAGCUAGUUUAUACAAGGAGGUUAGUAUAAAAAUCUAAAUCUCAAUCAAAAUUCACUUUCUAGAUGAAAUGCCAUUGACAAUUCCUUUUCAUUCACUUUGCUUAAAAUCAGCUAUUGUUGCUCUUAUUCUUGUCCUUCCUUUCCUCCCUUUUUAAGUCAGCAUUGCCUAGAUAUUAAGGAGUCUCCUCAAAUCAUGAGACAUCCUGUGGAAUAAAGCUAGGCAUGGGCCUAGGGUUGAGUUUGCUCAGCUCAAACAUUUUCAUUGAGCGUCAUUUUGUCUGAGGUACAAGAUGAACAAGGCACAGCCCUCCCUUUGGAGAAACUCACAGUCUUGCAAUUCUGUCUGGUUCUUCUUGGCCACAAUUAAGCAAGAAACCUCAGUUUUCUCAGGUGUAGAAAAUAGUAUUUAAUCCCCAUUUCCCAUACUCAGUUGAGGAACACAGACACUAUAGCAUUCACAAACCAUGAGGGGGUGAAGGACACUGAAAAUUCUGGGUAGUAUUAUAUUUGAUAAUAAUUGCUACGUGUGGUAUCAGCAGGGGUAGAAGCUAGUUCUGUAAUUCUUUACAAAAUAGACGUUUGGAAUCAUGAUUUCUGGUCAAGGAAGCAUUAUUGUACAUUAACCUUGGAGGGACUUUCUCAGCUCUAAACACAAAGAAUGGUCUUUAAAAUAUAAAAGAGAAGGGCGCCUGGGUGGCUCAGUCGGUUGAGUGUCUGACUUCAGCUCAGGUCAUGAUCUCAGGGUCCAUGAGUUCAAGCCCUGCUUUGGGCUCUGUGCUGCCAGCUCAGAGCCUGGAGCCUGCUUCGGAUUCUGUGCCUCCCUCUCUCUCUGUCCCUCCCCUGUUCAUGCUCUGUCUCUCUCUCCCUCAAAAAUAAAUAAACAUUAAAAAAAAAUAUUGAAAAAUAAAUAAGUAAACCCAUAAAGUAAAAUAUAAAAGAGAAAGAUUAAAAGUAACAGUUGGCCCAAAAGGUAAAAUCUUCUAGGAACUAGGCAUGCAGAGCAGUAAAUGAGACUGAAGACAUGGGCCUGUUGGGCUCCAGGUCUGAGGCAGAGGAGGCUGGAAUGGGAUCUCUACAGGGUUAGGGAGACUAAAAGUGAGGAAAGUGUGUGGGAGCCAGAACCGCAACCAGCCAGAACCAGGUUUUCUGUUGGAAACUACCAAUGGUAGUUUCUUUCUUUCUUUCUUUUAAAAAAUUUUUAAUGUUUAUUUAGUUUUGAGAGAGAGAGAGAAAGAGAGACACAGAGUGUUGGCUGGGAAGGGACAGAGAGAGAGAGACACAGAACCCGAAGCAGGCUCCAGGCUCCGAGCGGUCAGCACAGAGCCCAGCACAGGGCCCGAACUCACAAGAUGCGAGAUCAUGACCUGAGCCAAAGUCGGAUGCCCAAUGGACUGAACCACCCAGCCGCCCCAUCUAAUGGUAGUUUCAAAACAGGGGCUAGGGGCAUCUGGGUGGCUCAGUCAGUUGAGUAACCUGCUUUUGAUUUCUGCUCAGGUCAUGAUCUCAGGAUUCAUGGGAUCAAGCCCUGUGUCAGACUCUGUGCUGACAGUGCAAAGCCUGCUCAGGAUUCUCUCUCUCUUCCUCUCUCUCUGCCCCUCCCCUGCUCAUGUGAACUCAUGCACUUGCAUUCUUUCUCUCUCUCAAAAAUAAAUAAAUAAAUAAACUUUAAAACAAUAGCAACAACCAAAAAAGAAAAAACCACCCCCAAACAGGGGCUAGACUGAGAACCGCCCCCCUCCCCAACACAAAGUCCCUUAUUAAAGAGGCUAAAAAAAAAACCUCGCCACUGCCUGAAGAUGGGCCUUAUGUGAGGGAAUGGUCUGGCAGGAAGACAAGGAAGGGCAUAGAGCCCUCAUGACUGGCAUCUCUAUUACCACAGUAUGGGAAAAGAAAAGACAAGCUCUCUUUAACUGGGUAAUAUGAUUGUCUAUAAGGAUAACCAAACAGACCAUACUGAAAAAAUAUUAGAACUACAAAGACAACUCAGCAAAGCUGCAGGGUAUAAGAUGAAGAAAUAAAAUUCAAUUGCAAUCCUAUAUCUCAGUAUUUAUCACCUACGAUAUUUAAGAAGCCAGUUUUAAUAGUUUUAAUAGCAAUAAGCGAGGAAGUACCUAGGAAUAAAUGUAAUACAGACGUGGAUUUUUAUCUAUAAAUACAAUGUUGACAUUAUGUAUAAAAAUUAAAAAAAAAUUUUUUUAAUGUUUAUUUAUUUUUGAGAGAGAGGGACAGAGCACAAGCAGGGGAGGGGCAGAGAGAGAGGGUGACACAGAAUCUGAAGCAGGCUGCAGGCUCUGAGCGGUCAGCGUAGAGCUCGACGUGGGCUUAAACUCAAAAACUGUGAGGUCAUGACCUGAGUCAAAGUACGACAUUUAACUGACUGAGCCACCCAGGCACCCUAUGUAUAGUGAUUUUUUAUGGAACAAAUUAACUGAGAUUUAAUACAUGGAGACAUAGAGCAUACUCAUGAAUUGGAAUAUUCAUUAAAAUGAAGAAGACAUUUCUUCUAAAGUUAAUGUUUGAUUUCAGUGCAAACCCAAUUUUUAAAAUCCCAACCUGAUUAGGUAACACGCAACAAUGGUCACUGAGUUCAUGUAAAACAGUAAAGGUCAAAACUAAUUAUAGUAGGUGGAAAUGUCUUUGGCAACAAGUGAGGGAAUAUACAACUUAAAGUGGCUUAAACAAUAACAGGUUUAUUAUUUCACGUCACAGGAUGUCCAGUGGUAGGCGGUUUCAGUAUUGGCUAAUUCAGCAGCACAAUGACACCUCCGAGACCUAAGGACUUUUCAUCUCCCUGCCUAGCCAUUCUCAGUGUGCUAGGCUCUAGCUUGUCCUCUCAGGGUGGCAAGAUGGCUGCCACUGUUUCAGCCAUCACUUUCUCCUCCAACUCUGUACAAAGAUAGGAAGGGCAAGUCGUCUUCUUUUGUACGUUUUUAAGUGAGAAGAAAACUUACCUAUCCUAUCUCUACUCUAACACAAUUCCACACAGGUUUCUUUCUUUUUUAAGUUUAUUUAUUUAUUUUGAGAGAGAAUGUUUGAGUGGGGGAAGGGCAGAGAAAGAGAGAGAGAGAGAGAGAGAGAGAAUCCCAAGCAGGCUCUGCACUGUCAGUGUGGAGCCCAAGCAGGGACUCGAACCCACGAACUGUGAGAUCAUGACAUGAGCCAAAAAUCAAGAGUUGGACAUUUAACUGAUUGAGCCACCCAGUUGCUGCCCCCAAAUAACUAAAAUUUAAAACCAGAGGCAGCAUAACAAACCUGGAUUAAAAAACGAGUUAGUUAAUAAAUAUGUGUUGGAAUCUUUAUACAUAUUUUUUCUAUUUCACAUUACAAGAUUUUAAGUUGGUUUAAAGACCUAAAUUUGAAUAGUCAAAUUUUAUACCUCUAGGAAAAAUAUAAGAGAUUAUAUUUAUACCCUUGUGAUAGGAAGAACUUAUUAAAUAAAGCACAAAAGAAUAAAAUCAUCAAGGAAAAGGUGAAUAAUUUUGCUACCUCAAAAUAAAAAUAUAUCAUCAACAAAGAGAGAAGAUAUUUUUUCAGACAUACAACAACCGAGAUAUUCAUGUUCAAAAAUUAUAAAGAACUGCAAAGCAAUAAGAAAAAGAAACAACUAGAAAGAAAAAUUGACAAAGAAUAUAAAUAAGCAAUUCACAGAAAAGAAAUCCUAAUGGCCAAUAGAUAUACAAGAUGUUCAGUCUCACUAGAAAUGAAGGGAAAACAAUAUUAAAUAAUAAAAAGUUACCAUUUCAUAACUAUAAAUAGGCAAACAUUUUAACAUUUGAAAAUACCAAAAAUUAGUAAGAUGUGGAGAAACAGGACACUUAGAAAGCAAAGUGGUGAUAUGUAUUUAUAUAAAUCCUAAGACCCAGCAGUUUCUCUGUUCUCUAGAUUAGUGGUUCUCAACCAGGGUGAUUUUGCCUCCUGGGAAAUAUUUGGCAAUAUUUGCAGACAUUUUCGGUUGUCACACCUGCGUGGGGGUGGGGUGCUACUGGUACCUUUGGGGUAGAGGUGAGCAGUGCUGCUAAAUAUCCUACUCCACAGCAAAGAGUUAUUCAGUCCAAAAUGUCAAUAACACCAAGGUUGAGAACCUGUGGCCUAGAAAAACUGUCACAUGGUGUGCACCAGGCGAUAGGUAUUUAAAUGUUAAUUGCAGUAUUGUUUAUUAUAGCAAAUAACAACACACUGAAAACAAUUCACACAUCCAUAAUGCAGGAAGUGGAUAAGUAAUUUGUGUAUUUCAAACAAGGGAAUAAUAUACAACAGGUAUAUUUAAUGAAUUAGUUCUUCAGGUUACAAUGUGAAUCAAUCUAAAAAGAAACGAUGACUAGGGACACCUGGGUAGCUCGGUCAGUUGGGUAUCCAACUCCAGCUCAGGUCAUGAUCUCACGGUUUAGGAGUUUGAGCCCCGCGUCGGGCUCUAUGCUAACAGCUCAGAACCUGGAGCUUGCUUCAGAUUCUGUAUCUCCCUCUGCCCCUCCCCAGCUCUUGCUCUGUCUCUCUCUCUUAAAAAUAAAUAAACAUUAAAAAAAAUUUUUUUUAAGUAACAAUGAUUAAAAAUGCAUUGCAGAAUAUUAUGUACAGGGUGAUAUAGUAUUCCUUUACAAUUUACAAAUACAAAGCAUACUAUAUAUUGUUUAUGAAUAUAUACAUAUAAUAUAAAAGUAUAAAAAACAUGCAUGGGAAUGAUUUAUAGGAACUUCCAGGUAGUGAUUACUUUUCAGAAAAGAGGAAAGGAGGGAAAAUAGAGAAAUGAAUGAGAUCGGGAGUGGAUAAUGGGUUUAAACUACUUGUAAGACUUUUUAUAGCAAACAAACAAACAAAACCCCUAAAGCAAAUAAGCAGACAUUAAGAUCUGUUGAGUGUUUUAUGCACAGAUGUUUGGUAAACUAUUUUCUAUAUUUUUCUGUCUGUUUGAAAUAUUUUAUGAUGAAAGUAUUUUAAAGUAUUUUAAGAGCUGCCUCUGCAAGAAAUGACUAUUCUGUUUGUGUUUCAGGAGCAUAGAGUUGGUAGAGGGAGCCAAUGUUUCCAGAAGAAACUGUGCCACUCCAAAGGGAAAUUAGAGAAGGAGAAAGUGACCCUUGAAUAAAGAUGAGUUUAUUCAUUUAAAGACCCCUCUCCGGGAUUCUUGGCAGGAAGAGUUCACUUUCCUGCUGCAUCAGGGAUUGGAAGGCUACUCCUCUGUCCAUGGUCCUAUUCCUCUGCUUCAAACAACUUUAGAAGAAUCCAGAGGGAGGUUCAAAUCUGCAAUGUAGAAAAGCAUUGAAGUGUUCUAGAUACAGCUGAGAAGCUGAGAGAAGACGGAAUUUGUGGGUAUAGCAGAUCUUUGGAAUCUUUGAAAAGAAGUUCUGUCUGCAGUAGAUCCCACCAGCAGAAGGGGAUCCUGCUGGACAGCCAUUCUUUUCAAUAUUGAUGAACAGCAUCUAUCCGUGGAGUGAGCUCCACUUGAGCUGAAGCCUGCUUGAGCUGCAAGCAAAGAAUGGAAAUUUCCAAUUGCAGCAUCGAGGGCUGCUGUUCUGCUGACUGUCUUGCUCAGCCAGGGUCAUCUGCUUCUCUAAGACAUCAAGGAAUGCCAAGGUAAAUAGGAAGAAGCAAAGAAGCAAUUUGCUUUGUAGCCUCCAUUGACGGCCUAGAGCACCUAACGAAGAUGUGCCAGGGCUACUCGCUUCCACAAGCUUCCAGUUCUCAGAUGGAGGUUCAACAGAGGCUAAAAGUGAUUCAACACUUUAAGAAUCGGCUCUUGCAAUCAACCAUGUGUCACCAGAGCACGGUGCAAGAUUGUACCUGUAAGUACAUGAUAGUGUAUGAAAAGAUAUUGUCUUCUCCUUUCUCCUCUACAGGCUUUCCUCCCAGUCAAGAAUUAACCAUGAGGGGUGCCUGGCUGGCUCAGCUGGUUAAACAUCCGACUUCGGCUCAGGUCACGAUCUCACGGUUCAUGAGUUCAAGCCCUGUGUCGGGCUCUGUGCCCACAGCUCAGAGCCUGGACCCUGUUUCGGAUUCUGUGUCUCCCUCUCUCUCUGUCCCUUUUCCAGCUCACGCUCUGUCUCUCUCUGUCUCAAAAAGAAAUAAACAUUAAAAAAAAAAAAAAAAAAGAAUUAACCAUGGGACUCGUCCAGGAAAGCAUGGAUUGCUUGGCUGGAAGACUGGAGAAACAUUCAGUUGACCAGCAUUCUUGGGCACCUGCAAGUGCAUGUUCCAGUGCUUGGGUAGAAUUUAUCACACCUUAUUUACCAAUUAAAAUAGCCCAAAUGUUAUUGUAGAUAUAGCCCAUUUCAUACAGUUUAAUGCUUAAUAAUUCUCUGCUUGCUUCAUUAUGUAAAACUUGCAUUUUCCCAUCUAGGUCAUAAACUCUCUGAGGGCAGGGAUCAUGGCUUUGCUUCCUUUGAAUCCACCACAGGACCAAACACAGAAUAGAGGGGCACAAUACUGGGUGGUCAAAAGGGCAUGACCACGAGACGGUGUCUGAGACCUGGGUGGCUUCCAUGCCCCCUGCCCCAUCUAGCUGGAUUAAGACCUUCAGGAAGCAUUGAAAUCUCUGAGAUGUAAUUUCUUCAAGUUAAGAUUGCCCCACUCACCUCAUUGGUUCAUUGGGAGGAUCGGAUAAGAUAAUGUACGUGAGAGUAUUUUGUAAACCAAGAUUUGCAAGCUACUGAAAUGUGAGAAAUCAUCAGAAGAGGCACCUAGUAAAUAUCUGAUUGAUUUUUAAUGAUAAAGUAGUGUCUUCCUCUCUUCCCUACAUUCAAUUCUUAAGGGGUUUCGCUUCUCAGGAUUUGAAUUUAUCUGAGUGGAAAGCUGCUCUACAUCUUUCUGAUUCUGUGUAGAAUGUCUCCUAGUGCAUUUCACCCUAUAGUUAUCUUAAAGUUUGAUUGACAUUUAAUCAAAUCAACCAAAAAAGUCACAAAGCAUCCCAUGGUCACAUCUAUCACAUAGGCCUCCUGGAGACCAAUAGCAUUUGUAACUCACUAGAGUUCCAGAGCCUUUUUUUGUGUCACAUCUGCCUACUCCGCUGUACCCCGGGCAAGGAUUAUGUAUAUUUCUAUAUUCUAGCACAUACUUGAUACAUGGGAGUGUCAGAUCAUUGCCCUAAGCCCAGGCCAGCUGAGAAGAAAAUGAAAAAGUGGCACCUUAUAUGAGAAAUUUUACAAAGAGAUGACACUAUGAAACAGACUUUUAGAAUGGUUCAUUUAUUUAGAGUCUUCAUUUUCUACUUGUUCUUAGCAAAGAAGACAAUCUCUCCAUAGUAACAGAAUUCUAUAUGAUACAUUAGAAAACUCCCCUUUCAAACAUGGUUAUUCCUCAAAUGCUUCUGUAAGAUAUCAAAUUUAGGCACAAGGUUUCUUCUCACUUAACUGGAAAAAAAAAUGGAGACACCAAGACAUAAAAUAAGUUGUAUAUUCUAGAGAUUAUUAUAUGGAUUUUUGGUUCUCUAAUACUCUUAGUCUUAGUAACAUGAAAGAAAAGGUAACUAGAGAACCAAUGACUUUUUUUGGUCAUCUUUACUGAAAACGUUCCAUUUCAGUAUUUUUGGUUAAUUCAUGAAAGCUGCUUGAGCCUUUUUUUCUUCCCCAAGUUCAAUCACAGAGUAUCAACUGCAAGACUUAUAUACAGAGUUGAGGCAUUUUGGUGAUAUGUGGAAUCCAAACCAAUUGUGAACUCCAUUAAUGAACAUAUUUAGGAUGCCCUUUUUUAUGGGGCAUAAAAAGAGAAAACUAUUUUUCAGAAUUAACUGAUCCAGAACAGUUUUCGGAAACCUCAUUUCUAUUCUUUUAAAAUUGAUUACAGAAAGUUUCAAACAUACCCAAAGGUAGAAGAAUAGUAAAAAUGAACCCAUUCUUACGAACCUGUCAUCCAGCUUCAACAUAAGGGCAAUCUUGGCAAGCCUCAUUUUUUAUUUUUUAAUUUUAAAAAAUGUUUAUUUAGAGAGAGAGAGAGAGAGAGAGGCAGAGAGAGAAUCCCAAGCAGGCUCCACACUGUCUUCAUUGAGCCCGACAUGGGGCUCAAACCCACAAACCAUGAUCUCAUGACCUGAGCUGAAAUCAAGAGUCAGACACUUAACCGACCGAACCACCCAGGAGUCUCAAAAAUGUUUAUUUAUUUUUGAGAGAGAGAGAGCAAGCAGAGGAGGGGCAGAGAGAGAGGGAGAGAGAGAAUCCCAAGCAAGUUCUGCACUAUCAGCAGUGAGCCUGAUUCAGGGCUUGAAUUCACGAACUAUGAGAUCAUGAUGAGCCAGAGUCUGAUGCUUAACCGACCGAGACACCCAGAUGUCCCUAUCAGACACUUUUCUUUUUCAUUCUUGUAUCUCUGUCACCUCUCCUGAGGCUGACAUGGGACCAGCUCCUUGAAUAGUCCAUACUAGAAGAAAAGUACUAAACAGGAGGAAGAGAUGGUAAAUUUUAAAUUUAUUAAUUUAUUAAUUAUUCUCUACCUGUGACACAGUGCCUUGUUUCUUCUGACUAACAUGCUGCAGGGAAAUAGUGAUAAUGGGAAAGGAGGCAUUUCCAACAACAGAACUGACUCUUUGUCCCUUUGCCCCAAUGAUAUAUAGUGAGUAACAGAACGAGAGGUCACUCCAUUCUUGAUCCUAAAGAGAAAGGCCCAGGACAAAUCUUGUAACCCAAAUGUUUCAAGGCAGAGAGUUUCUUAUAUGUAACAUAUUACUCAUUUAUUAUAUAUAUAUAUAUAUCAAAUUACAUAUAUAUGUAAAAUUUUUUGCAGAGUACAAAUAUCAUGCUGUAUUAUUGUUCUAAGAUUUAUCAAAAUGCAUACCAAUUUGUAGCCAAAUCAUACCCAUAGGGAAUCUAAAAUAAAAAUAAUUUUUUAAAGUAAAUUAGAGGGGCACUGAGGUGGCAUAGUUGGCUGAACAUCCAACUCUUGAUUUGGGCUCAGGUCAUGAUCCCACGGUCAUGAGAUUGAGCCCUACAUUGGGCUCCAUGCUUAGCUUGGAGCCUGUUUAAGACUCUCUCUCUUUCCCUCUGCCCCCUCUCCCACUUGUGUGCUCUCUCAAAAAAAUAAAUAAAUAAAUAAAAAUAAAAAUAAAUGAAAGAAGUAAUGGGGCACCUGAGUGGCUCAGUUGGUUAAGUGUCCAACUUUGGCCCAGGUCAUGAUCUCACAGUUGGUUGGGUUUAAGCCUGAAUCAGGCUCUCUGCUGACAGUUCAGAGCCUGGAGCCUGCUUUAGAUUCUGUGUCUCCUUUUCUCUCUCCCCUUACCCCGCUCACACUCUGUCUCUCUCUCUCUCUCUCUCUCAAAAAUAAAAUAAACAUUAAAAAUUAAAAAAAUAAAUACAUAAAAGAAGUAAAUUAGAAUGAUGAAUUUGGGUAGAAGUCAUAUGGCUUUAACAAAACUUCGAUUUCUUCCUUUACGUUGUUCCCCCUGGUAGAACAGCAAAAUUCCUACCUAGAUGGUAAGACUUGUACCAUUUGCUUAAUUUUAAGAUCCUUGGUUGCUCUUGGGAACAAGUAUACUGCUGUGGCAUGAAGUGGAAGGUAUAAUUUGAAGCCAGACUAGAGAAAAAAGGCUCCUUUUAGAAAUAAUAUAUUCAUGAAAAUGUAAAAGUAUCAAAAAAGGCUUAAUAAUUUCACCAAGUAAUGUAAAGCUAAAUGUCAUAUGCAAGUUCCUAAAGAACUAUAACAAACUUUGUAGAACUCAAGCCUUCCAUGGAAGAAGGUUUUAAAACUUCUUUUAAAGCCAACACAAUGGGAAGAGCCAACCACAGAAUGUGUUGCACUGUUACUCCCUGUGGUUAUUUGCUUUAUCAGCCACAAUAACUGAUUUUGCAUUCAGUAAAGACUUAAGAAAGGUUGGGGCGCCUGGGUGGCUCAGUCGGUUAAGCGUCUGACUUCGGCUCAGGUCAUGAUCUCACGGUCCGUGAGUUCAAGCCCCGCGUCGGGCUCUGUGCUGACAGCUCAGAACCCGGAGCCCAUUUCAGAUUCUGUGUCUCCCUCUCUCUCUGACCCUCCCCUGUUCAUGCUCUGUCUCUCAAAUAAAUAAACGUUAAAAAAAACUAAAAAAAAAAAGACUUAAGAAAGGUAAAGAUGAACACUUAUCAUAUUUCUUUCCCAUGUGGACUUUCAAAAUCCAGGACAGUAGCUUUCCUUUUUCCUCUAGUAAUUAGACUCUGAAAGGAAUCUGGAAAGUGUUACACACAGGAGUGGUAUUCAGUCAAAACAGGGCUCAUUUCCAGCUCUGCUUGAGUUUGUUGCUGUCUACGUGUGAUGUUGAAGGGAGUGAGGAAAAUAAACUUCCCCAAUUAUUACAUGGUGCCAAUGACUUGACUUGGCUUUGAAGAAAUAAAUUGCAUUGCUUCCUCAGUAUAUUCACAAUCAGUCUCUGAGAUGCAGGGAUAUGGUUAUUCCACCAGAAAAAAAACACAUUUAAUUAUUUAAGACAACUAAGUACUUCAUGUGAAAACUACCAACUUAACAGAAGGGAGGGAAAUAACUCUUAAAAUAGGCUCAAGGGGUAGGGGUGCCUGGGUGGCUCCAUUGGUUAAGCAUCUGAUCAAACCCUGUGUCGGGCUCUAUGCCGGGUAUGGAGCCUGCUUAAGAUCUUCUCCCUCUGCCCCUUCUCCCCCUCCCUUCUUCACUCUCUCUCUCUCUCCCUAAGAAAAGAAGGAAGGAAGGAAGGAAGGAAGGAAGGAAGGAAGGAAGGAAGGAAGGAAGGAAUAGGAUCAAGCCAGUAAACCUAAGGAAAGGGGAAAAAAACAAAGAAGGAUAAGUAAUAAGAAAAAGAAUGAAAAUAAAUAUAUCCAUUACCAUAAAUAUUUGAAUGAAUCAGAUUUCCCUUUUAAAGACAAACUUUCAGAUUAGGUUGAAAAACAAAAUUAAACUAUGAAACUGACUUCAAAUAAAAUGGCAAAGAAAAUUUGAAAAUAAAUGAUUAGGUAGAUGUAUGUCAGGCAAAUCCAAAACCAGGAGUGACAAUAUUAAUAUCAAACUCAAGGCCAGAAACAUUAAAUAGGAACAAGAGGAUGGAAUGUGCCACACAGUGGCAGAGAUUGCUAGAUGCCUAUGCCAUCCACACCCAUCCCUCUUUGCCCUUGCUAACAAAACCUCAAUUUAAUUUGGUACAGCAAUGUGUACAGAUGAAAAAUUAAUUUUCCUAUCCUAUUUUACAAUUAGGAGUGAAUAAUAAGUUGUAAGCAGACAUAAGUUGAUAGGUGGGCCUGCUGACGUCUGAGUUGGAAGCUACUCUUUUCUGACUUCUUUUUCCUCCUUCAUGACUGGAAUAUACAUGUGAUGGCUGGAGCUGCAGAAGCCAUCUUGCAACCAUGACUUGGAAAAUGGAUACCACAUACUAAAAGGUAACAGAGCAGGAAGACAAAAGGAGCUUGCAUUCCCGAUGACCAUGGAGCCACUAUACCAGCCCUGAACUUUUUACCACCAGGUAUAUUUUAUGUUUGAGAAAAACACAUUUCUAUUCAGCCACUAUUAUUCUGGUAUCAUUUUAUACGUAGUCAGCUCAAUUUUCUGUGGCACAGAUAUAAACUUGAACAAAAUAUAACAGUUGUCAGUUGUUAUGCACUAAAAAGCAUAGCAUAAAAAUUGUUUUAAAUCAAAACCACCAGAGAGUGUUAAAAGAGAAAAGAAUCCACUAGAAAGACAUGCAGAAUUUGAGGAAAUGGCAAGCUUAGUAGUAGGUUUUCAUUCAAUUCUUUCAGAGUUUGAUAGAAUAUGAAAUCAAACACAAGCAAGAAUAUAGAAGAAUGUAAUAUAUAAUAUAAUAUAACUAUUUAAUAUAAUAAUAAUAUAACUAUAGGCUUAUAAUAAUAUAACUAUAAGCUUAUUAUAUAUGCAUGAAUAUAUGAAUUUAUGUAUGAUUCAUAUACAGUAUAAAAAAAUAAAUUUAUACCUUACAAAAAAGAGAAUAUGCAAUCUUUUUAUAGGUGUGUGGAAUAUUUACAAAAUCAAUCAUGUACUUGGCCGUAGAGGAUGAAAGCUAUUGUGGUAUCAGGUACAGAGGAAAGAUGCUGGAACUAGAUGGUCUGUUCUACAACUUGCUGGCAGUGACCUUGGGCAAGUUACUUAACCUUCUAGGGUUUUGUUUCUUUAUCUACAGACUUGGGAUCAUAACAGCUAGAAAUUUUAUCUUUUACAAUUAUUUUUUUUUUAAUUUUUUUGUUAACGUUUAUUUAUUUUUGAGACAGAGAGAGACAGAGCAUGAACGGGGGAGGGUCAGAGAGAGAGAGGGAGACACAGAAUCUGAAACAGGCUCCAGGCUCUGAGCAGUCAGCACAGAGCCCUAUCUUUUACAAUUAUUAUGAUUUCUCCCAGCCUAGCAUUUUCCAGCUUGAUGUCCAUCCAUCUCCCUACACAAAGCUGCUGGCACUGCAUGUAACUGACUCUAGGUGGAGGUGCCAGGCCAUCAGAUGGUCAUCACUAUGUCACAGUGGGAGGGUCAACAGCAGGAAUAGAAGGUUAACAUCCCUCAGAUUGGUGAACACGAUGCUGUCUACAACGGAAUUCAAGAGCACCAAAAGAAUGUUAAAUGGAUGAAUUGUUACUUGCAGGAAAAGAAACAGGAACCAUGUUUCCAAUUAUUCCUCAUUUCAGACAACAACUAGCUGUUUCCGUUGGCUGGCACGGUAGCUGAAUGGGGAAUGCUAUUGAGUAAACUCUGCCCAAGAAGGAUGAAUGCGGGCCAGUGAAUUUUCUGACACAGUCCCAGCUUUAUUUUUGCUUAUUGCUGGCAAGCUAAUACGAGGGACAUUAAAAAACAAGUGACAAAAACUUUAUAAAUAAGGUUUAAAGGACAAGAAGUCUCCAUAGUCCCCCCAAAUGUAAACAUUUUGUGCCGAUAAGGAUUAUUUGUGACAUAAGACAGAAUCUCUAAAUUUGACUGUUGGUUAGAAAAAAGAAAAAAAAAAACACUUAAUAUAAAUCUUUUAAAAACCCAUAAAAUAAAACAUUUCUUAAUAUCACAAAAGCAGAACACUGAAGUACUUAAAAAUAU